GAUGAACGCUGGCGGCGUGCCCAAUACAUGCAAGUCGAGCGAACAGACGAGGAGCUUGCUCCUCUGACGUUAGCGGCGGACGGGUGAGUAACACGUGGAUAACCUCCCUAUAAGACUGGGAUAACUUCGGGAAACCGGAUCUAAUCCCGGAUAAUAUAUUGAACCGCAUGGUUUAAUGGUGAAAUACGGUUUUGCUGUCACUUAUAGAUGGAUCCGCGCCGCAUUAGCUAGUUGGUAAGUUAACGGCUUACCAAGGCAACGAUGCGUAGCCGACCUGAGAGGGUGAUCGGCCACACUGGAACUGAGACACGGUCCAGACUCCUACGGGAGGCAGCAGUAGGGAAUCUUCCGCAAUGGGCGAAAGCCUGACGGAGUAACGCCGCGUGAGUGAUGAAGGUCUUCGGAUCGUAAAACUCUGUUAUUAGGGAAGAACAAAUGUGUAAGUAACUAUGCACGUAUUGACGGUACCUAAUCAGAAAGCCACGGCUAACUACGUG
rnacentral:rRNA from 1 species